UGACAGGUGUGGGGUUGUGCUGAGGGUGUGUGACAGGUGUGGCGGCUGUGCUGAGGGUGGGUGACAGGUGUGGGGACUGUGCUGAGGGUGGGUGACAGGUGUGGGGACUGUGCUGAGGGCGGGUGACAGGUGUGGGGGCUGUGCUGAGGGCGGGUGACAGGUGUGGGG